rnacentral:rRNA from 1 species
GACGAACGCUGGCGGCGUGCUUAACACAUGCAAGUCGAACGGAAAGGCCCUGCUUUUGUGGGGUGCUCGAGUGGCGAACGGGUGAGUAACACGUGAGUAACCUGCCCUUGACUUUGGGAUAACUUCAGGAAACUGGGGCUAAUACCGGAUAGGAGCUCCUGCUGCAUGGGGGGGGUUGGAAAGUUUCGGCGGUUGGGGAUGGACUCGCGGCUUAUCAGCUUGUUGGUGGGGUAGUGGCUUACCAAGGCUUUGACGGGUAGCCGGCCUGGGAGGGUGACCGGCCACAUUGGGACUGCGGUACGGCCCAGACUCCUACGGGAGGCAGCAGUGGGGAAUAUUGCACAAUGGGCGGAAGCCUGAUGCAGCAACGCCGCGUGCGGGAUGACGGCCUUCGGGUUGUAAACCGCUUUCGCCUGUGCCGAAGCGUGCGUGACGGUAAUGGGUAAGGAAGCACCGGCUAACUACGUG